rnacentral:lncRNA from 1 species
AGUCUGUGAGAAAGUGUCUUCUAUUUUAUCCGACAACUUCAAAUUGAGGAAGAAUAAAAAUAGAAAAGCAGAAUCAUCUCCAUCAAAUCUGUGUAACACUUCAGAGGAACUAAAGCAGGUCAGUUCCUCCAAAGUAAAUGCCACCUAACAGGUCAUGACGUGGGGUUGCCUGGCGUGCUGCAGUCCAUGGGCUUAUGAGGUGAGGUCUGCCCAGCCGGGACUGUAUUCCAGGUAGUCGUAGAGACUCCAGCCACAUCCUCUCUGACAGUUAGGGGAGCGCAAGUCUGUGCUCCUGCAGGUUCUCCUCUUCCCUCACCUACUACCCCUUUGGUCUGAGUCCCUUUGCACCUCCUUCUAGCCUCCUCUUCAGCACCCAGUAAAGCCUCAGUCCUCGUCCCCAGCUACCCCCUUGCCCUGCUAAGCCCCCUUUUUGGAGUGGAGCUGCCAUUCUUCCAGAUUAGUCCUUUGUCACUCUCCCUGCAUCCCGGCUGACAAUUGCCAGCCCCUCAGGAAGGAGGACUAAAGACCUUUUGAGCCAGGUAGUGAAAAUUUGAACACUCCCAGGGAAGUAGUGUGUACACCAGAUUCAGGAGAGUGAUUUUCUAUAGGGAGGGAGAGAGGAACUAGAUGGAGAAGGUCUUGGGGUGGUUAGUUGCAUAUUUAACUUUUUUUUUUUUCGGCCGUUCCAGGUCUUAGUUGCAGUAUGUGGGAUAUAGUUCCCCAACCAGGGAUCGAACCUGGGCCCCCUGCAUUGAGAGCGUGGAGUCUUAGCCAUUGGACCACCAGGGAAGUCCCCAGAUACAACUUUUAAAGAGAUGGAGCAAAUAUAUGAAAUCUCUUGGUGGAGUUUCUACCCCUACAUCAAGAUCCACUUCUGUCCUGGCCACCGAAGCAGCCCUUGACACCCAGUCCAGCUCUGCCUUCCUUCAGGUUGGGGAAGAGCUAACUGGGAAUCUCUCCAGGUGCCGGCAGAGCAGCUCAGGCAAUCAAAGUGCUAAGGUACCCGAGUUGCCAAGCUUUGAAGAGGCAGUUUGUUGGGGGCAGGGUUGGGGGGUGGGGAUGGGGGAUGAAGCUGGUGAUGGAACUUCUCAAGGGAGCUGCCUGCCCAGAUUUCCCUCUUGAAUGUUUCUAGCUAACAGGUGGUCCCUCCACUGGAAGUAAAUUCCUGGGUAUUUUUACCCAACACCUCAUAAACAAAAUGGCAAUGCUAUUGGCUAUGUCAUACAACCAGGCGUAUUGAAUCAUGUCCCCAUUCAUCAAUUUGCCAAACAAAGCAGGUUGCUAUCUGAGCUUGUUUGGAGAGAGGCUAACUAUGGGAAGGAAGAAAAACUCAGGCAUCUGCCUACACGUACACUGUCAAGAUUUAAAUGAUAGAUGUGCUCAGUGGUAUCCAACUCUUUGUGACCCCAUGAACUACAGCCCACCAAGUUCCUCUGUCCAUGGGAUUUUCCAGGCAAGAAUACUGGAGUGGGUUGCCAUUUCCUUCUCUAGGGAAAUGAUACAUACAGGAUGACUUGGUGCAUUUUUAAGUGACCCUUUCCCUACAUAAGACUGCACUGGCAGCAUGGUUGACACUCUAGUCAUUGUUAUGAGAACCGCACUAUAAUGCCUCGGGGAGGCCUGUUGCACUGGAACUGAGGUAGGGAGGAGAUGGAACCCAAGAGAGAUGCAGAAUGUAUCCAGAGGAUAACUGAUUUAUUUUUUUUUAAAGGCAUUUUAUUUUUUAAAGUCUUUAUUGAAUUUGUUAAAAUACUGCUUCUGUUUUAUAUUUCAGUGUUUCUUUUGGCAUGUGGAAUCUUAGCUCCCUGACCAGGGAUCGCACUCGUAUCCCCUGCAUUGGAAGGUUAAAGUUUUAACCACUGGACCAUCCAUGUUUUAUAAAUCCAUCCAUUCAUUUAAAAACACAUUGAGCAGCUCUCAUUAGGCCUUGUGCUGUAUGCUAGACACACCAAGAUUCACGAGGCUUACACGCUGAUGGGGGAUUCUCUAUGUAUGUGCAGGAUAGUGUGUUAAGUGUGAUAAUAAAGGUACACAUAAAAUAUAGAGGGGAUCUAGG